rnacentral:rRNA from 1 species
CAAUUCAAAUUAGUUUGAUUUUGAUUUUUUAUAAUUUAAUUUUGAUUUUUUAUGGUUUGAUUCAUUUAAUAGAAUUAACUUUGUUUUCAGUAAUUUUUAUAGAAGAAAUUUAUUUAUAGUUAUAGUUUAUUUGUACUGUAAAGGUGUUAAAUUUAUUAUUAUAGAAGUAAAUUUUAAUUUUUGUACCUUUUGUAUCAGGGUUUAUUAAUUUUAAAUUUAGAUUAAAAAUUUCCCGAAUUAAAAUGAGUUAUCUAAUAUUGAUGUUUUAUGUUUUAUAAUUAUCAUGAAAUUUUUAGAUAGUUGAUAUAUUCUAGGCGUUUUUUAAUAUCUGGUUUUUUAAUAAUUGAAUUUAAUUCAGGAUUAAUUUUGAUUUAUAUGGAAAUUUUAUUUCAUAUAUUAUGAAUUAAUUUAACAUUAAAGGGGAUAAGCUCUUUUAUGUGUUUAUAACUUAUAAGUACUAUAAAGUUUUGUAGGAUUAGAAAUUUUCUUCAUUUAUUUUGUUAUAAUAAUGUUUUAAUAUUAUUUUAUUUAUUUAGGUUUAAUUUUUUAUUAAAAAUUAUUUAUUUAUUAUCUAUUUAUUAGAUAUAAUGAUAAAAUUAGUAUAUUUUUAAAUUAAUAUAUAGUAACUCGGCAAAUUUAUUUUUCACCUGUUUAUCAAAAACAUGUCUUAUUGAAUAUUUUUAUUAAGUCUGACCUGCUCAAUGAUUUAUUAUAAUUUAAUAGCCGCAGUAUAUUGACUGUGCGAAGGUAGCAUAAUCAUUUGUCUUUUAAUUGAAGGCUUGUAUGAAUGGUUUGAUGAGAAAGUUACUUUCUUUGUAUUAAGUAUUGAAUUUAAUUUUUUAGUUAAAAAGCUUAAAUAUUAAAAUGGGACGAGAAGACCCUAUAGAAUUUUAUCUAUUUUUGAAUUAUUUUAUUUUAGUAAUAUAUAUUUAUUAAUUUAAUAUUAGAUUUUGUUGGGGUGACAGUAAGAUUUUAUUAACUCUUAUAUUUUAAUUUUUAUUAAUGAUUAUUUUUAAGAUCCUGUAUUAAUGGAUAUUUAGAUUAAAUUACCUUAGGGAUAACAGCGUAAUUUCUUUUUAGAGCUCUUAUCGAUGAAGAAGUUUGCGACCUCGAUGUUGGAUUAAAAUAAGAUUUAAGUGUAGAAGCUUAAUUUUCUAGGUCUGUUCGACCUUUAAAGUUUUACAUGAUCUGAGUUCAGACCGGCGUGAGCCAGGUCGGUUUCUAUCUUUUUUUUAUUAAUUUAAAAUAGUACGAAAGGACCUUUUAGAUCAAAUAAUUAUGUUAAUUUAUAUGAAUAAUUUUAACUAUUUUGGCAGAUUAGUGCAGUAAAUUUAGAAUUUAUUUAUGUAAAAUUUUUACAGA